AUACGUAGAAACAUACGAACGCCAGAACGUGGGAAUACCGUUUAGCGAGACACACAAUAGUCAAUAAUAUAACAUAAAUGAUAAAUCAUAAUAUUCAUAAUACUAUUGAUAUUUAUUAUUUAAUGCUCUAUUAUUGAUAUGAUAUUGAGAAUGGUUGUCAUAGUGUGAUUAACGAUUUUAAUGAGUAAUGACCAAUAAAUAAUUUUAUUAGUUAAUACUUACCAUCAGUUGACAGUUGGUAAGUUUUCAUUUUUUUGAUUUUGGUGUUACCUAUAGUGUACUUUUUACAAGUUAUUACGAUAUAAUAUAGUAGAAUUGUAUCAUGGCUGGCCUACUAAAAUACAAAUUUACCAAGAUCAAAAAGACUGAUGGUAGUGAGAAUGUUGCACAAAUUAUUCAAAGUCCAUGUACAGAAAAUACGGUCUCUUCUGUCAAAAAAUAUGUCGCUGAAAUACCAAUAAUACCAGACUCUAAAUCAGAGUUUCCUGAAUGCUGGGAUUUUAAGCAGAUUACUUAUUUUACUUAAGAAUAUCCUUGGAUUUAUUUUAAAAAUAAACAUAUUGGAUGUAAGAUCUGUAGAGAUGUAAAUCAAAAUUUAUUAAAUCAAAAAGGAUCACAUGUGGC